rnacentral:rRNA from 1 species
AGACCCGAAACCCGGUGAUCUAGCCAUGGGCAGGUUGAAGGUUGGGUAACACUAACUGGAGGACCGAACCGACUAAUGUUGAAAAAUUAGCGGAUGACCUGUGGCUGGGGGUGAAAGGCCAAUCAAACCGGGAGAUAGCUGGUUCUCCCCGAAAGCUAUUUAGGUAGCGCCUCGUGAAUUCAUCUCCGGGGGUAGAGCACUGUUUCGGCUAGGGGGCCAUCCCGGCUUACCAACCCGAUGCAAACUGCGAAUACCGGAGAAUGUUAUCACGGGAGACACACGGCGGGUGCUAACGUCCGUCGUGAAGAGGGAAACAACCCAGACCGCCAGCUAAGGUCCCAAAGUCAUGGUUAAGUGGGAAACGAUGUGGGAAGGCCCAGACAGCCAGGAUGUUGGCUUAGAAGCAGCCAUCAUUUAAAGAAAGCGUAAUAGCUCACUGGUCGAGUCGGCCUGCGCGGAAGAUGUAACGGGGCUAAACCAUGCACCGAAGCUGCGGCAGCGAACGUAUCACUUAAAGCGAUUCAGCGGGUUACGAUUGACGGAGCGAAGCGACGUCAAAGCGUAUACAAAGUCGAGUCGGUUUAAGGAUACGUUCGUUGGGUAGGGGAGCGUUCUGUAAGCCUGUGAAGGUGUGUCGUGAGGCAUGCUGGAGGUAUCAGAAGUGCGAAUGCUGACAUAAGUAACGAUAAAGCGGGUGAAAAGCCCGCUCGCCGGAAGACCAAGGGUUCCUGUCCAACGUUAAUCGGGGCAGGGUGAGUCGACCCCUAAGGCGAGGCCGAAAGGCGUAGUCGAUGGGAAACGGGUUAAUAUUCCCGUACUUGGUGUUACUGCGAAGGGGGGACGGAGAAGGCUAUGUUGGCCGGGCGACGGUUGUCCCGGUUUAAGCGUGUAGGCUGGUUUUCCAGGCAAAUCCGGAAAAUCAAGGC